rnacentral:rRNA from 1 species
GACAGCGGGUGCGAGCGUUGUCCGGAGUCACUGGGCGGAAAGCGCGCGCAGGCGGCAACCUUAGUGUCGUGUGAAAGCCCCCGGCUCAACCGGGGGAGGCCAUGGCAAACUGGGUCGCUCGAGCUGCGGAGAGGCCCCUCGAAUUGCCGGUGUAGCGGUGAAAUGCGUAGAGAUCGGCAGGAAGACCAAGGGGGAAGCCAGGGGACUGGCCGCAGGCUGACGCUGAGGCGCGACAGCGUGGGGAGCAAACCGG